GUGCUCACUUCAGCAUCACAUAUACUAUUAAUAAAAUUGGAAUGAUACAGAGAAGAUUAGCAAGACCCCUGCACAAGAAUGACAUGCAAAUUCGUGAAGCAUUCCAUAUUUUA
ensembl:snRNA U6 U6 spliceosomal RNA